UUUAAUUGAAACCAAAAAGAGGUAUGUCACUGUUAAUGACAAAAAUGAAUUUAAUUCCAAUUAAAG
rnacentral:tRNA from 1 species